GACGAACGCUGGCGGCGUGCUUAACACAUGCAAGUCGAACGGAAAGGCCCUGCUUGCCGGGUACUCGAGUGGCGAACGGGUGAGUAACACGUGGGUGAUCUGCCCUGCACUUCGGGAUAAGCCUGGGAAACUGGGUCUAAUACCGGAUAGGAGCCAUUUUUAGUGUGAUGGUUGGAAAGUUUUUUCGGUGAAGGAUGAGCUCGCGGCCUAUCAGCUUGUUGGUGGGGUAAUGGCCUACCAAGGCGGCGACGGGUAGCCGGCCUGAGAGGGUGGACGGCCACAUUGGGACUGAGAUACGCCCCAGACUCCUACGGGAGGCAGCAGUGGGGAAUAUUGCACAAUGGGCGCAAGCCUGGUGCAGCGACGCCGCGUGGGGGAUGACGGCCUUCGGGUUGUAAACUCCUUUCGCUAGGGACGAAGCUUUUUGUGACGGUACCUAGAUAAGAAGCGCCGGCUAACUACGUG
rnacentral:rRNA from 1 species